rnacentral:rRNA from 1 species
AAAUUUGAGAGUAUGAUCCUGGCUCAGAAUGAACGCUGGCGGUAUGCUUAAUACAUGCAAGUCGAACGAGAAAGUCUAGCAAUAGGCGAGUAAAGUGGCGUACGGGUGAGUAAUGUACAGGAAUCUACCUGGCAGUAAGGAAUAAGCACUGGAAACGGUGUCUAAUACCAUAUACUACCAUUUAUUUGGGAAAGGGUCAGCCUAUGGCUAGCCCGCUAUCAGAUGAGCCUGUAUCGGAUUAGCUAGUUGGUGGGGUAAAGGCCUACCAAGGCGAUGAUACGUAGCUGGUCUGAGAGGAUGAUCAGCCACAUUGGGACUGCGACACGGCCCAAACUCCUACGGGAGGCAGCAGUAGGGAAUAUUGGACAAUGGGCGAAAGCCUAAUCCAGCAAUACCGC